GACGCCAAAAGGGUGCCAUGUGCGUCGGAUGUAUACGCAUUGGCAAAAGCGUCUAGUAUAUGAUGCCUUGGGAUGACAACGGACUGGAUAAUACCUAUUGAUAAUUGGUAACAACAUUCGAAAAUCAUUAACCAAGGCGACCUACAAUCUAUAUAUUCGUUUUUUUAUACUGAAUUGAAUCAAUGUCGCCUCGAUUACUUUAAUGCAAUUAGAUAUGGAUAAAUGCGUGUCAUUUUAUUUAUAGAUGAAGUGUGUCAUUUCUAGGACAAAAACACUCAUCCGGUGUCCAUUGGUCCUCGAACAGAUAAUCCCACCCCAAACUCGCUUUAUUGGUCGAACCAAUGUAGCUACGCUAGAUGCUCACACAUACAGAUCAGUGUUUGUAAAAACUCGCUUUUUGGGGGAAUCCUCCCAAAAAAAAUUUAAAAUACACACUUCAUCUUUAAAAUGAAAGAGGUUUUAGUGAAACUGUGAAUUGUAUGGAACAGAGCCAUGAAAAGUCAACACCUGACCUCUACAAUGAAACAUUAGUAUGGAUGACAGUGAAGCCGUUGCUUUUAAUAUGCUGGAUGCCAGCUCAGUGAGAGGUCAGGUAGACCUGUGAAAACGCAAAUGAAAGCGAAAUGUGCUUGAUGAAAUAGCGUUCUUCUAGAGAACUUGAGAGCUUUUGGCUGUUAAAGGGCUGCCAUUGUGUUGCCAUGACAAUCUUGCAAGAUCAUUCACAAGUAAAGGUGUGCCUAUUCUAAUUGCAUAUUCGGUUUUUAUUUCCUUUACACCUGGCUUGUGCAUUCUCAGUAUUUCAUAUGAGAUUUCUACCAUAGUGUCUACAAUCAACUGUAGACCAAAUUCUUCUUUCCUUAGUACCUUUUCUAGAUUAUUUGGCGGGACACAAAGAGAAUAUUAGAUUGAAACGUGUUGGGAGUUAUGCCAUUUCUUUCUGUAAUGCGUGUUGGAUCUGCUCUUGACCAUUAAACUCAUCCAUGACUGUUUCAACCCUGCAGUCCAUUGAGUUCUGCGGGAUUAGGGUUAUUAGUUUUGCUACCUCAACUUGCAGAUGGUUUUGACAUUGGUAGUAAAGCAAAAAUGACUUGUAUCUUGAGGGACGGACUGUCCCUAAAGGCUUUUGCCGAUCAGGUUGUGGGAAAAACGUGUUUGCGGUUUGAUCGGCUUACCCGCCGUACUGUAUGUAGCAUUUCAGAUGCACGGAAAACACUGGCUCGUCGUUCCAAAAGUCGCGGUCCCGUUCUGUCGGAAAGCAGUUCUACAUUCCGCAUGCACAUAUGUGUACCUAAUAAACCACAUUUAUGAUCGAGGUAAUGGCUCUUUUUGGACCAUAAUGUCCUAAGUUAUGCAUCUUGACUGCUUCUAAGUCCAGUGUUUGGGAGGAAUAUCAGGUCGACCGAUCACCUCUAAAGUUGGGAAUGCGUCGUUGUGAGUCAUUCCAUACCAUAGGAGUUUGUGCCCUUGAAAUUCAAGCCAAAUGCAGUCUGUGGGCAGUAUCUUUGUUUUUGCAAUCGCAUUCGUUUAUGGCGCACAUCUUAUCUCUUGACGGGAUGCUGUGCUGCACUUUUUUUUUUUGGGGGGGGGGGGGGUUUCCAUGUAUGGAGUCGAAGCUUUAUGGAGCAAAAAUGCCUUUUGCUAUCUGUUCGACUGUGUUCAAAGUACUUUGGUAAACAUUUUCAGAGUGGAGUCUUAACGUUGUAAAGGUUCGGCAUUCAGUGCGGUAUGACGAUUGGAUCCCUUCUCCCGUGACCCCCGCCUCAGGUUAUUGCAUGAGACUGGAAUGAUUAGGCUCGGCUAAAGAUUGAUACCUUUUCUAUAUUUCUUAAUACUGUUGAUAUUGUGAUUUUAAAACUUUGAUCAAAAACGCUUGCCUUUACGUUCCAUUUCUUUCACCAGUUUUGAGAAGUUACCCCUCUUAAUGCAGAAUCCCACCAGUGUAGUGGUCCAAAAAAAACGUUCGAUUUUUGUUGCAAUACGAAACGAUUCGAGUGGUGAAGGCAAUACUCGUGAUUUAAGUCCCAUUGAAAGUGAGUUUCGAAGAAAGCAGGUCGACUCGACGUCCUUAUCAGACCGCCUUUCGCAUUUUGAAAAGAUUCAGCCAAAUAUCCUUAGUUCAGUGCUUUAUUAACAGCGAGGAUUGUAAAGUACGAAUUACCUGAGGAAACAAAAAUGGACGCUCUAACUUUAGAUCUUUUGCUCGGUCCCUCGAGACCCACAAGGCCACAAAGACUAUUUUGUUUCUGAUGUCUGUACAAUGUGUGAUGAUGUUUCAACUAAAAGGAAAAAAAAAAAAAAACCUUACAACGCAGAAUACCUCAGAUAAUAAAUCCAUGUAAAUCUUGACAGCCUCCACAUGUAGAUAGAGCCCUGUUCACUGCCUCCCCACCUUUCACGGACGUUUCUUCUUCUAUCGUUUCACUGCCCAUUAUAUGUUGUGGAGGUUUCAUUACUUUCUAUUCAUGUCUGUUUUUUUAGUUCAUGGAACACAUGAACCGUUCAUCAUUCAGUCGUGUACUUGACAACUUAAGGCGGCGUUCACACUGACGGGACUUUGCAAGUCACUCUGGGUUUUUUUUAUGAGAGUUGAGGCAUCAUGAUCAGACUGUUGAUGAUGCUACAAAGUUGAGCUAUUCAACUUUAUGCAAAUGCGUAGUGACGAGGUGACAACCAAUGGGAGUUUAGACUGUGAUUUGUCACCUGAUUCAGUUGGAUACUGUGGUUGAGUUGAAACGUCCAACGCUACGGCAACCUCGUGACCUCCAGCGUUUUUAUCAUGACAGUGUGAAUGCUAUUUUAGGAAGGGAAGACACUUAUUUUUUCCGGUCCAUUUCAGAGGAACAGUAAUAAAUCAGAUGUUUUUGCUCUACACUGAAAAAGAAUUAGUUGUUUCAACUUUCAAAAAGAAAGUGUUUGUGCCGCCUUUAAAUUUUAAGCUCAGUCAACAUGAAAUGUUAAGUUUGUGACAUGGAUAUUUGAGUUGCGUAAACUUAAAAUUUUAACAUGGCACAAACACUUUUCUAAGUGUAGUUCGUAUAACGUAAAUUAAGUUUUGGCUCCAAGUGUGGCUAGCCAAGUGGGCUCUGUCUUCUUUUAGGGGUUGUCUGUUGAACAUAAGCCAUAGUUUACGCGUUCGUCAGGCGUAUUUUCAUCAUUCGUUUUCGUUAUCAGCUAAACUGAAUGUAGGGGGAAAAAAAUAAUACAAAAUUGAAACUCUUACUAUACAUACUUUAGGACAAGCUAUAGAUUAUUAUAUUAAUAUAUGUAUACACUCAACAGUCACAGUGCAUUGUAUAUAAUGUUCUGUAUAGUUAUAUACUUAUCUUCUGGAAAGAGAUGUAAAUCUCUUCCUCGUUUGAUUCAGGGAACAAACAUUUCAGUGCAGUAUAUUUAGACUCCAGUAUACGGCAUUUGUAUAGUUCGUUUUCAUUUGCUCACACGUUUCUUUUUCUGUAAACAUACUGGAAUGGUAGUUAGUCUUGAAGUGAGCUAAACAAAAAAUAAGUUAUUGUAAGGCAUCUUAACGCUGCUGUGGUGCAAACAGUUGUGUUUUUCCACAAUACUGUACAAACAGAAUAUAUAUAUAUAUAUAUAUAUAUUAAGAGGAAACGCAAACUUUUUAAGGUGGAUGUGUAUAUAGUCUCGAACCAACUUCGCGAUUCGAUUUGAUCUUUUUUUUUUUUUUUCUGGUUGAAAAACCAGAGUGAUUUUAAAGUAUUUAUUGUUACAUCAUUUGGCGAUGUAAAUUAACUUUCCCCGUGAAAAAAAUGGUUAUAAGCCAAGUUUUACGGUAUUGCUUGUUAUUUUUUGCUUGCUACGUGUAAAUGCAAUUUAAGUUUCGAAGUCGGAUGGUCAAAAUCAUUUGUAAACACUGGAUCCAUCGGACGAUGUCCUAAAAUCAUCCUCAUUCGUGACGAUGAGGAAAUGCGCCCCUGGGUGUGCUUUGCUGCAACUACUUUUUCUUAACGAUAACGAUGUUUAAUACUAUUAUAAUUUCUCGUGCGAAGUGAAACGUCUCCGUGGCUGUGAGCUGGUUCUGUAUGAGUGUGUGGAAUUGCUUGAGGUUUUAUUUUUUGCGCUUUUUACUCGUGCGUUUUGAGAAUAAACCAUUUCGUAAUACACUUAAAUCAUGCGAUUUCUGAGAAGGCAAGCCUGAAAAGACAAAGUAGUUGUUUUCUUGAUCAUCUGUGAAGAUAUAAGAAAAAUACGUUCCUUAAAAGCAUUUCUCUAUUUAUCUUAUCUUAAAUCCUAUUAUUAAGCCACAACUACGAAUCCCUCAGGGACGAACGACACUGAUUCAAUCUAUUCAGGUACUUUCGUUAGAUUCUGCGGCCUAGCUGUUAAAAUAUGACAACAACAAAAAAAAAAAACGUACGUAUUUUUUAACGAAUUGAGCAAAACAAAACGGUCGCUAUGACAAGAGUCAUUUGUAACCCGUUGUCACUUAAUUUCUUUUCCUCUGUCCUUUUUAGUUUUUGUAUUCUUCGUAUUCAGACUUAAGUACAAGUUACUAAAUGAAUGUCAAGCUGAAACUUCAGGUGAAGAGCGACCCUCAGCCGGACAGUGCUUUUCAUUACAAUUUCCUCUGCACACACUGUGCCUCAAAUGCCUGAAGACAAUACAACACUAUAGCGACAAACACCACAUCAGACCCCUUAAUGAUAGUGGUCGACCGGUCUCUUCACGCCUAUACAGACGUACCUCUACAACACCAGGCCUGAUCUUUCACAUUUGCGGUCGGUAAUUGAUAGUUUCGGUCUCUGCUUUUAGCAUGUAAGUAUUUCAGCGAAGAAACUGCCUGAAGAAACUGCCUCUCAAUAUGUUUUAUUUGAGCUUUUCGGUGCCUACUGUUCUUGUCAAAAGAUACUUCACCAAGGGUGUGUGAACCGGCUGAUUAUAAAGAUUAUUAGAAAGACGAGCACAGGAGUCGUGUAUGUUAAAGCCGGAUCAUUUUAACGCAGCGGUAAGUGUGAAGAAUACUCUUUAAUUAGUCUCGGUGUGAAGUUUUUGUUGUUUUCCUUCAGAUUUGAAAACAUUCCUGUUGUUCAUGUCGUCGUGUGUUUUCGAUCAUGAUGCCUGACAAUUGGCAGUGGUUUUGUUGUUUUCCACACGUGGGCUUGGAUUGAAAAGUUCAGGCCUGAUGUAAGGCAUAAAAAAAAUGAAAUACUUACAUGUUAACUCUUUUAAUAAAAGACGGAAACGGUUUUUAAAACGCGCAGGUUUGCCGGUGUGGGAAAAGGUGCUGCUUUUUCCGAAUCUUCUCUCUUUUCGAUAUACCUCAGACCAUCUAGAUCGAAACGAGUACUUUUAACGGCAUCUUGCCCUGUAACACGCUGGUUCCUCCGAGUCAGUCCAAUUGUUGGAAGACAGGCGCUUCAAAACUGGAAUAGACCUCAUUUCAAUAUAUACUGUUUACUCUUUGACAAAAAAAAAACAUUGUAUAGUUUAAUAUUUUCUUGUACUGUAGAUUUAUUUAUGUAUAUUAAUUUGUUCUUUUUUUGUACUGUGCGUUUGACUUUUAUUCUAGACUAUUAUCGAUGUCCGUGUUAGAGCACUUACGAGGAUCACAAUUAUUUUUGUUUGAUUGCACUAUUUGUUUGUUUUGUUUUGUUUUCCGUUUGAAUGCAAAUUCUUAUUUUUUAAGCUGGCCUAAUGAAUAAUAAGCUGUCUCCUAAUGUAUGUGAUUUUAAAAAAAAAAUGUCAAAAAAAAAUGAAAAGGAAAAAACUGAUUAGAUUUUCUGUGGUCUAAUUUAAAAACAAAAAAAAAAAAAAGUUUUCUCUUUCUUUUUAUUUGCAUUGACCGUUAAGCAAAAUGCUGAUUAGAUCCGUCUUUGUGCAUGUGUGAAGUUUUACUGGUUAUAUUUUACCCAUUAGGAAAAAAAAAAUGCCAUUUUUCCAACACAUUUUAAUUGUAACAUUGUGCAAGUUAGUAUUCACUGGAUGCUAGAACCUUCUUAUGAAAACCACUAUUCUUCUAAUAAAUUUUUGUUGUGAAAACGA